CCUACGGGAGGCUGCAGUGGGGAAUAUUGGACAAUGGGGGGAACCCUAAUCCAGCCAUGCCGCGUGUGUGAAGAAGGCCCUCGGGUUGUAAAGCACUUUCAGUGAGGAAGAACGCCUGGUGGUUAAUACCCAUCAGGAAAGACAUCACUCACAGAAGAAGCACCGGCUAACUCCGUGCCAGCAGCCGCGGUAAUACGGAGGGUGCGAGCGUUAAUCGGAAUUACUGGGCGUAAAGCGCGCGUAGGUGGCUUGAUAAGCCGGUUGUGAAAGCCCCGGGCUCAACCUGGGAACGGCAUCCGGAACUGUCAAGCUAGAGUGCAGGAGAGGAAGGUAGAAUUCCCGGUGUAGCGGUGAAAUGCGUAGAGAUCGGGAGGAAUACCAGUGGCGAAGGCGGCCUUCUGGACUGACACUGACACUGAGGUGCGAAAGCGUGGGUAGCAAACAGGAUUAGAUACCCCGGUAGUC
rnacentral:rRNA from 1 species